rnacentral:rRNA from 1 species
UACGAAGGGGGCGAGCGUUGUUCGGAAUUACUGGGCGUAAAGGGCGCGCAGGCGGCCCCUGAAGUCAGAUGUGAAAGCCCCGGGCUCAACCUGGGAAUGGCAAUGGAUACUGGCAGGCUAGAGUGUGUCAGAGGAUGGUGGAAUUCCCGGUGUAGCGGCGAAAUGCGUAGAGAUCGGGAGGAACAUCAGUGGCGAAGGCGGCCAUCUGGGACAACACUGACGCUGAAGCACGAAAGCGUGGGGAGCAAACAGG